CACGUAGGGGGCGAGCGUUGUUCGGAUUCAUUGGGCGUAAAGGGUGCGUAGGUGGCGCUGUAAGUCGGGUGUGAAAUUUCGGAGCUUAACUCCGAAACUGCAUUCGAUACUGCGGUGCUCGAGGACUGGAGAGGAGACUGGAAUUCAUGGUGUAGCAGUGAAAUGCGUAGAGAUCAUGAGGAAGACCAGUGGCGAAGGCGGGUCUCUGGACAGUUCCUGACACUGAGGCACGAAGGCCAGGGGAGCAAACGGG
rnacentral:rRNA from 1 species